rnacentral:miRNA from 1 species
CACUGCAGCCUGGGCUCUGGU